UACGUAGGGGGCAAGCGUUGUCCGGAAUUAUUGGGCGUAAAGCGCGCGCAGGCGGUCAUGUAAGUCUGAUGUGAAAAUCCAAGGCUCAACCUUGGGACUGCAUUGGAAACUGCAUGACUUGAGGGCAGAAGAGGGGAGUGGAAUUCCUAGUGUAGCGGUGAAAUGCGUAGAUAUUAGGAGGAACACCAGUGGCGAAGGCGACUCUCUGGUCUGUUACUGACGCUGAGGCGCGAAAGCGUGGGGAGCAAAC
rnacentral:rRNA from 2 species